CUCCUCCCACUUCCAGGGGGUUUAUCAAAUCUUUAUGCAUUUUGGGCAAGCAAUAAAAGACCAGAAUUUGAGGAUUAAAAAUAUUUAAAUAUUUGGCCUCUGUGUCCAUUAAAAUGUUUUUCUCUAAUCCCUCACUGAUAAAUGUCUCAAAUUUAGCUUUAAUCUCUUGACUAGGGUUAAUUUUUAAUCUUUUAUAUGUAUUUGAAUCUGACAGGAGUCUUUCGGCUUCACCCACA